rnacentral:rRNA from 1 species
UCUACGGGAGGCAGCAGUGAGGAAUAUUGGUCAAUGGACGAGAGUCUGAACCAGCCAAGUAGCGUGAAGGAUGACUGCCCUAUGGGUUGUAAACUUCUUUUAUAUGGGAAUAAAACGUUCCACGUGUGGGAUUUUGUAUGUACCAUAUGAAUAAGGAUCGGCUAACUCCGUGCCAGCCGCCGCGGUAAUACGGAGGAUCCGAGCGUUCUCCGGAUUUAUUGGGAUUUAAGGGAGCGUAGGUGGAUUGUUAAGUCAGUUGUGAAAGUUUGCGGCUCAACCGUAAAAUUGCAGUUGAAACUGGCAGUCUUGAGUACAGUAGAGGGUGGCGGAAUUCGUGGUGUAGCGGGGAAAUGCGUAGAUAUCACGAAGAACUCCGAUUGCGAAGGCAGUUCACUGGACUGCAACUGACACUGAGGCUCGAAAGUGUGGGUAUCAAACAGGAUUAGAUACCCGAGUAGUC